AGGACACUAGGAGCACCGAUUCCUGGAUCCCCCCAGCAUACAAAGCAGCCGCUGGCAGAGACCCCCAGGACCAGGACGACGAGGGAUGAAGAGGACCAGGACUGACAAGCCAGCUGUCCCUCUUGGCUAAAGGCUUGAACCAGUGCCCUAGUGAGGGGGCACUGGCUGCUAACCCCUGAUCUUUGCUACGCUUGUGCUUGGUCUCUGUGAAUACUUUCCCAUAAGUCUCUGCUGUGUUAAUGUGCCGGCGACCUGGAGCGCUUCCCUCAGGGUGGCGUCAGUCUUUCUCCACUGACCCUGCUGUUGCCCUUAUGAUGUCCUGAACGGAAAGAUCCCUUUGGGAACUCCUCAGGAGGGGGACCUAGGCCAGAGGCUCCUCUAGCAUCUCACUGGCGAUUCCAAGGCCCAGGGUGGGCUUGUGGAAUGAGCAUGAGCCCUCAUGUCAUGCUACUGAACUGCCAAAGGCAUGCUCCCCUCUUUCGAGAUCCCCCGUCCUUUCUGGGCAAUGGGGAUGAGAAGUGCAACCUCCUAGGGUUGUUGUGAGUAUUAAAUGAGAGAAGGCAGCCUUGGGCAGGGCUGGGCAUAGAGGAUGCGGUCAGCAAAUGUUUGUUGAAAAAAUUUGGCAGGUCAAUCCAUUCCUACCUCUCUCACUUGUCGUACUUGUUCUCCCACAGCACUCCGGACAGCCCCUGUCCCCCAGGCUCUCCUUGCAUCAGGUGGGUGGGGAAGAGGACUCAUGAAAGCUGAGUGCCCCUCCCACGGGAUAGGGGUCACCCACGUUGGCAGUGAGGAUGGACGCCGAGGCUGGAGGGAUCCAACCAGUUUUGUCCGGACAAGACAAAAACAACUCAGGCCGCCUUGCAGAAGCCCAGCUUGGUGUGGACAAUAGCUCCCAGGCAUCUGAAAGGGCCUGAUUGGAUUAUGUGGCAAAUGAAGGUGGAAGGAUGACUUGGAAGGUGACAAAUGAAGUGGGCGGAGAUCUGCUUUGAGUUAAUCCAGGCUAUUAGGAGGCCACCUUUUGUCUUCCAGAGGCUGGCAGGAGCUUUUACCACUGGUUUUUACAUCCUUAAUGUAAGGACGCAUAAUUUAUGGUCAGUGAAAGUCCAGGCCCCGGUGAGAUUGGAGUGGGCUGUAAAAUUGAGCGUCCCGCUACCAGAGUCACCCAUGGCCUGCCCGUAUUGCCGCCCUGUCCCUGUGAGUCCUGGGCUGUGCCCUGCCCCAGGGCUCAUGGGGGCUGCCACCUGGGCCUGUUGCAUCCCUUGCCCAUGGCCCGUCCCCACGAGCCACCUCCCUCCACUGACAACCACACCACAGGUGAGAUUGGGCUCUGUGCUUUUUCUUGGGGUGUUGGUGGUUUUUCUGGGGUGCUUGUCUUUCGAUCUUUCUAACUUUCUGUCCCUCCCCAAGGUCGGCCCCGUCCUUGGGACAUGGGCUGCAACUUGGUCGGGUUGGCUGAAGAACUGGACGGAAGGGAUGGAAGAACCCCCGGAGGACCCCCACCCUGGACCACGUCCUUCCUGA
rnacentral:lncRNA from 1 species